rnacentral:rRNA from 1 species
AACGCAUAUUGCACUUUCGGGUUAUGCCUGGAAGUAUGUCUGUAUCAGUGUCCGUA